UCCUGGCUUAGGACGAACGCUGGCGGCGUGCCUAAUACAUGCAAGUCGAACGGUCUUUCUAUGGAAGCUUGCUUCCACUGAGAAGAUAGUGGCGAACGGGUGAGUAACACGUGGGUAACCUGCCCAUAAGAGGGGGAUAACAUCCGGAAACGGGUGCUAAUACCGCAUAGUUUUCUUGAUCGCAUGAUCGGGAAAGGAAAGACGGCCUUUGUGCUGUCGCUUAUGGAUGGACCCGCGGCGUAUUAGUUAGUUGGUGAGGUAACGGCUCACCAAGACGAUGAUACGUAGCCGACCUGAGAGGGUGAUCGGCCACAUUGGGACUGAGACACGGCCCAAACUCCUACGGGAGGCAGCAGUAGGGAAUCUUCCGCAAUGGACGAAAGUCUGACGGAGCAACGCCGCGUGAGUGAAGAAAGGUUUUCGGAUCGUAAAACUCUGUUGUCAGAGAAGAACAAGUUGGAGAGUAACUGCUCCAGCCUUGACGGUAUCUGACCAGAAAGCCACGGCUAACUACGUGCCAGCCGCUGC
rnacentral:rRNA from 1 species